GUGCUCAGGUCCGAAUGGAGUCAGGGCCACUCCAGGGUCACUCCCCAACUCCCCAGGGUGGAGGUGGGCAGGGUGGGAGUGAGCUUGAUGACCCCCCAGCCCCGGGAAGCCUGUCAUAGUCUGGUGAGGAUGGGCUUGAGCCGCUGCCAAAUCCGCUAACCUCAGAGUCUGACUCCUCUUGGUCAAUGGGGGCUCCAUGCCUACACCAGCCAGUCCAUCCACAC